CGACUAAGCGUACACGGUGGAUGCCCUGGCAGUCAGAGGCGAUGAAGGACGUGCUAAUCUGCGAUAAGCGUCGGUAAGGUGAUAUGAACCGUUAUAACCGGCGAUUUCCGAAUGGGGAAACCCAGUGUGUUUCGACACACUAUCAUUAACUGAAUCCAUAGGUUAAUGAGGCGAACCGGGGGAACUGAAACAUCUAAGUACCCCGAGGAAAAGAAAUCAACCGAGAUUCCCCCAGUAGCGGCGAGCGAACGGGGAGCAGCCCAGAGCCUGAAUCAGUGUGUGUGUUAGUGGAAGCGUCUGGAAAGGCGCGCGAUACAGGGUGACAGCCCCGUACACAAAAAUGCACAUGCUGUGAGCUCGAUGAGUAGGGCGGGACACGUGGUAUCCUGUCUGAAUAUGGGGGGACCAUCCUCCAAGGCUAAAUACUCCUGACUGACCGAUAGUGAACCAGUACCGUGAGGGAAAGGCGAAAAGAACCCCGGCGAGGGGAGUGAAAAAGAACCUGAAACCGUGUACGUACAAGCAGUGGGAGCACGCUUAGGCGUGUGACUGCGUACCUUUUGUAUAAUGGGUCAGCGACUUAUAUUCUGUAGCAAGGUUAACCGAAUAGGGGAGCCGAAGGGAAACCGAGUCUUAACUGGGCGUUAAGUUGCAGGGUAUAGACCCGAAACCCGGUGAUCUAGCCAUGGGCAGGUUGAAGGUUGGGUAACACUAACUGGAGGACCGAACCGACUAAUGUUGAAAAAUUAGCGGAUGACUUGUGGCUGGGGGUGAAAGGCCAAUCAAACCGGGAGAUAGCUGGUUCUCCCCGAAAGCUAUUUAGGUAGCGCCUCGUGAAUUCAUCUCCGGGGGUAGAGCACUGUUUCGGCAAGGGGGUCAUCCCGACUUACCAACCCGAUGCAAACUGCGAAUACCGGAGAAUGUUAUCACGGGAGACACACGGCGGGUGCUAACGUCCGUCGUGAAGAGGGAAACAACCCAGACCGCCAGCUAAGGUCCCAAAGUCAUGGUUAAGUGGGAAACGAUGUGGGAAGGCCCAGACAGCCAGGAUGUUGGCUUAGAAGCAGCCAUCAUUUAAAGAAAGCGUAAUAGCUCACUGGUCGAGUCGGCCUGCGCGGAAGAUGUAACGGGGCUAAACCAUGCACCGAAGCUGCGGCAGCGACGCUGAUGCGUUGUUGGGUAGGGGAGCGUUCUGUAAGCCUGCGAAGGUGUGCUGUGAGGCAUGCUGGAGGUAUCAGAAGUGCGAAUGCUGACAUAAGUAACGAUAAAGCGGGUGAAAAGCCCGCUCGCCGGAAGACCAAGGGUUCCUGUCCAACGUUAAUCGGGGCAGGGUGAGUCGACCCCUAAGGCGAGGCCGAAAGGCGUAGUCGAUGGGAAACAGGUUAAUAUUCCUGUACUUGGUGUUACUGCGAAGGGGGGACGGAGAAGGCUAUGUUGGCCGGGCGACGGUUGUCCCGGUUUAAGCGUGUAGGCUGGUUUUCCAGGCAAAUCCGGAAAAUCAAGGCUGAGGCGUGAUGACGAGGCACUACGGUGCUGAAGCAACAAAUGCCCUGCUUCCAGGAAAAGCCUCUAAGCAUCAGGUAACAUCAAAUCGUACCCCAAACCGACACAGGUGGUCAGGUAGAGAAUACCAAGGCGCUUGAGAGAACUCGGGUGAAGGAACUAGGCAAAAUGGUGCCGUAACUUCGGGAGAAGGCACGCUGAUAUGUAGGUGAAGUCCCUUGCGGAUGGAGCUGAAAUCAGUCGAAGAUACCAGCUGGCUGCAACUGUUUAUUAAAAACACAGCACUGUGCAAACACGAAAGUGGACGUAUACGGUGUGACGCCUGCCCGGUGCCGGAAGGUUAAUUGAUGGGGUCAGCGCAAGCGAAGCUCUUGAUCGAAGCCCCGGUAAACGGCGGCCGUAACUAUAACGGUCCUAAGGUAGCGAAAUUCCUUGUCGGGUAAGUUCCGACCUGCACGAAUGGCGUAAUGAUGGCCAGGCUGUCUCCACCCGAGACUCAGUGAAAUUGAACUCGCUGUGAAGAUGCAGUGUACCCGCGGCAAGACGGAAAGACCCCGUGAACCUUUACUAUAGCUUGACACUGAACAUUGAGCCUUGAUGUGUAGGAUAGGUGGGAGGCUUGGAAGUGUGGACGCCAGUCUGCAUGGAGCCGACCUUGAAAUACCACCCUUUAAUGUUUGAUGUUCUAACGUUGACCCGUAAUCCGGGUUGCGGACAGUGUCUGGUGGGUAGUUUGACUGGGGCGGUCUCCUCCUAAAGAGUAACGGAGGAGCACGAAGGUUGGCUAAUCCUGGUCGGACAUCAGGAGGUUAGUGCAAUGGCAUAAGCCAGCUUGACUGCGAGCGUGACGGCGCGAGCAGGUGCGAAAGCAGGUCAUAGUGAUCCGGUGGUUCUGAAUGGAAGGGCCAUCGCUCAACGGAUAAAAGGUACUCCGGGGAUAACAGGCUGAUACCGCCCAAGAGUUCAUAUCGACGGCGGUGUUUGGCACCUCGAUGUCGGCUCAUCACAUCCUGGGGCUGAAGUAGGUCCCAAGGGUAUGGCUGUUCGCCAUUUAAAGUGGUACGCGAGCUGGGUUUAGAACGUCGUGAGACAGUUCGGUCCCUAUCUGCCGUGGGCGCUGGAGAACUGAGGGGGGCUGCUCCUAGUACGAGAGGACCGGAGUGGACGCAUCACUGGUGUUCGGGUUGUCAUGCCAAUGGCACUGCCCGGUAGCUAAAUGCGGAAGAGAUAAGUGCUGAAAGCAUCUAAGCACGAAACUUGCC
rnacentral:rRNA from 1 species